rnacentral:rRNA from 1 species
UACGAAGGGGGCUAGCGUUGCUCGGAAUCACUGGGCGUAAAGGGCGCGUAGGCGGCCAUCUAAGUCAGACGUGAAAUCCCCCCGGCUUAACCUGGGAACUGCAUCCGAUACUGGAUGGCUUGAAUUCGGGAGAGGGAUGCAGAAUUCCAGGUGUAGCGGUGAAAUGCGUAGAUAUCUGGAGGAAUACCGGUGGCGAAGGCGGCAUCCUGGACCGACAUUGACGCUGAACGGCGAAAGCUAGGGGAGCAAACGGG